rnacentral:sRNA from 1 species
GUUUUUCUUCUUUAUAAUGGAUAAUUGUGAGAUUCUUGUCAGCAUUUUACUAUCAUUCGAAUCUAUAUAUAUAUACAUUUUUGCAGCCACUUUGUGAAAUAAAUCCUCAAGUUGAGACUUAUUUACAGUGGCUGCCACUGACAUUUAAUAAUUAUUUUUGAUAAUUAGAAAGUAAAUCUUCGAAUUAAAUAUUUGACAUUUAACUAUCUUCCCGAAAUCUCUCCACAUUAACUACACAAUUAGUUACUAAAAUAAAACUUCCAAAAUAUUUAAUAUCAUUUAAACACUACAAAAUUAUCAUUUUUGAUAUUGCUUUUUUCAUGACUAUAACAAUUCGAUUAUAAGCAUCAAACCGCAGAAAUAUUUGAUAGCAGUUAAUUACUACAAAAUUAUAAAAUAUUUAUACA